AACGAACGCUGGCGGCGCGCCUAACACAUGCAAGUCGAACGAGAAUCCGGGGCAACCCGGUAGUAAAGUGGCAAACGGGUGAGGAAUACAUGGGUAACCUACCCUUGAGAAGGGAAUAACCCGCCGAAAGGUGAGCUAAUACCCUAUACGCUAUCUUUUUUUCGAAAAGGAUAGGAAAGCCGGGUCGAGGACCUGGUACUCAAGGAGGGGCUCAUGUCCUAUCAGCUUGUUGGUGGGGUAACGGCCUACCAAGGCUACGACGGGUAGCUGGUCUGAGAGGAUGAUCAGCCAUACUGGCACUGAGAUACGGGCCAGACUCCUACGGGAGGCAGCAGUGAGGAAUAUUGCGCAAUGGGCGAAAGCCUGACGCAGCGACGCCGCGUGGGGGAUGAAGGUUUUCGGAUUGUAAACCCCUUUCAUGAGGAAAGAUAAAGUGGGUAACCACUUAGACGGUACCUCAAGAAGAAGCCACGGCUAACUUCGUG
rnacentral:rRNA from 1 species